rnacentral:rRNA from 1 species
GACGAACGCUGGCGGCGUGCCUAAUACAUGCGAGUAGAACGCUGAAGGCGGAGCUUGCUUCUCCGGAUGAGUUGCGAACGGGUGAGUAACGCGUAGGUAACCUGCCUGGUAGCGGGGGAUAACUAUUGGAAACGAUAGCUAAUACCGCAUAAGAGUAGAUGUCGCAUGACAUUUGCUUAAAAGGUGCAACUGCACCACUACCACAUGGACCUGCGUUGUAUUAGCUAGUUGGUGAGGUAACGGCUCACCAAGGCAACGAUACAUAGCCGACCUGAGAGGGUGGUCGGCCAGACUGGGAGGGAGACACGCCCCAGAGUCCUUGGGGAGGGGGCAGGAGGGAAUCUUGAGCAAUGGACGGAAGUCUGAGCGCGAAACGCGGCGGGCGGGAGGAAGAUUGUCGGAUCGUAAAGCUCUGUUGUAGGAGAAGAACGCGUGUGAGAGUGGAAAGUUCACACUGUGACGGUAUCUUACAAGAAAGGGACGGCUAACUACGUG